rnacentral:lncRNA from 1 species
AUAAAUCCCAUAGGCUUAAGGGCUCCCCAAUUCCUUGCUACAGAGCCCUGUUGUCCACGGUUUAUUUUUUUCCACAGGACGAUUCUUAAUACUUUACCAGAUGGAAACACCACCACCACCAUCUUUGCCAUUUCAGCUCUUAUGCAUUAGGCAGCCACGAUAUCUUCAGGGCCUUCUUUCUCAUUCACGCCAUCUCAAGAUUACUCCUGUGGGUAUCUGGGCUCAAUCCCAGUGGAAACCUUCUAAAUGACUGUAGACAAGAAACCUCCAAAUGACUGCAUGAACGGUGGAGAAAACCAGGGUAUUUCUCCUUGAACUCUAGCUACUUAUUGCUUAAGAGCACCUGUCCCCUCCACUUGUCCAUUUCCCUCCUUUCCUGUGACAAAAGAACCCUUGCAGGAAGACAGUGGAAAAAUGCCAUAGGUGGCUUGAAAGGAUACGGGCUUGGAAUGCACAGAAUCUGAUACAAGUCUACUUCAAAGACAAUGGCUUUUAUUCUUCAGUGACUGGGGACACAAGAACAUGUUUUCAAAAGGGGUGUAAAAUUUGUGAUUUAAUCAACACAUACUGAGUAUCUAAAAUGUGCCAGGCACUGUGAAAGAAACUGAAUAAAUAUGAGUGAAGUACAGUCUCAGUCCUCUAGAAAUUUCAGAUUCAUUAAAAGUACAGUUGACCUUUGAACAAUACAGAUUAGAACUGUCUAGUCCACUUAUACAUGGAUUUUCUUCUGCCUCUGUCACCCGAGACACAGCAAGACCAACCCCUCCCCUUCCUCCUUCUUUUCAACCUACUUAACCUGAAAUCGAUGAUGAAGACAUUUGUGAUGAUCCACAUCCACUUAAUGAAAGCAAGGCAAGGUACUUCUACGGAAGGGUGCGACCUCACGGAUGGAGCAAUGGUCACUCAGUCUGAGGUAUUUUGUUAUGGUAGCCUGAACAGACCAAGACACCAAUAAGACGGUAUUUGGAGGUGGGGCCUUUUGUAGGAAGAAGAUAUGGUGGUUGAAGUUACAAGGACUCCUUGUUGUAACCAGGAGCCGAUCUUGAUCAAUGGAGCUACAUAAAGCAUGUUGAAAUGCAAAGAAAGAUAGAAGGAGCCUGUGGUACUGAAAACAUUGAGGAUUCUCUGAACCAGCCUUGGCUACCCCACCAUUUAACUUGAGAAAAAAUAUUUCUUUCCUCUUUAAGCUCUUCUUCUACCAAAUGUAUCAGGAA